rnacentral:rRNA from 1 species
GACGAACGCUGGCGGCGUGCUUAACACAUGCAAGUCGAGCGGUAAGGCCCUUUCGGGGGUACACGAGCGGCGAACGGGUGAGUAACACGUGGGUGACCUGCCCUCAGCUCUGGGAUAAGCCCGGGAAACUGGGUCUAAUACCGGAUAUGACUUCAUGACGCAUGUUGUGGAGUGGAAAGCCUUGUGCGGCUGAGGAUGGGCCCGCGCUAUCAGC